rnacentral:rRNA from 1 species
GACGAACGCUGGCGGCGUGCCUAAUACAUGCAAGUCGAACGCUUCUUUCCUCCCGAGUGCUUGCACUCAAUUGGAAAGAGGAGUGGCGGACGGGUGAGUAACACGUGGGUAACCUACCCAUCAGAGGGGGAUAACACUUGGUAACAGGUGCUAAUACCGCAUAACAGUUUAUGCCGCAUGGCAUAAGAGUGAAAGGCGCUUUCGGGUGUCGUUGAUGGAUGGACCCGCGGUGCAUUAGCUAGUUGGUGAGGUAACGGCUCACCAAGGCCACGAUGCAUAGCCGACCUGAGAGGGUGAUCGGCCACACUGGGACUGAGACACGGCCCAGACUCCUACGGGAGGCAGCAGUAGGGAAUCUUCGGCAAUGGACGAAAGUCUGACCGAGCAACGCCGCGUGAGUGAAGAAGGUUUUCGGAUCGUAAAACUCUGUUGUUAGAGAAGAACAAGGACGUUAGUAACUGAACGUCCCCUGACGGUAUCUAACCAGAAAGCCACGGCUAACUACGUG